ACGCACGCUGGCGGCGUGCCUAAUACAUGCAAGUCGAACGAGAGCGACCGGUGCUUGCACUGGUCAAUCUAGUGGCGAACGGGUGAGUAACACGUGGGUAACCUGCCCAUCAGAGGGGGAUAACAUCCGGAAACGGAUGCUAAAACCGCAUAGGUCUUCGAACCGCAUGGUUUGAAGAGGAAAAGAGGCGCAAGCUUCUGCUGAUGGAUGGACCCGCGGUGCAUUAGCUAGUUGGUGAGGUAACGGCUCACCAAGGCCGUGAUGCAUAGCCGACCUGAGAGGGUGAUCGGCCACAUUGGGACUGAGACACGGCCCAAACUCCUACGGGAGGCAGCAGUAGGGAAUCUUCCGCAAUGGACGCAAGUCUGACGGAGCAACGCCGCGUGAGUGAAGAAGGUUUUCGGAUCGUAAAACUCUGUUGUUAGAGAAGAACAAGUGCUAGAGUAACUGUUAGCGCCUUGACGGUAUCUAACCAGAAAGCCACGGCUAACUACGUG
rnacentral:rRNA from 1 species